rnacentral:rRNA from 1 species
GUUAAACAUAAAGAGCGUAGGGUGGAUGCCUAGGCACUGACAGCCGAAGAAAGACGUGACAAGCUGCGAAAAGCUGCGGGGAGAAGCACAUAUUCAGUGAUCCGCAGAUGUCUGAAUGGGGAAACCCACUUGGAUAAACUCCAAGUAUCUGUACGCCAAUACAUAACGUACAGAGGGGAACCCGGUGAACUGAAACAUCUAAGUAGCCGGAGGAAAAGAAAACAACAGUGAUUGCGAAAGUAGCGGCGAGCGAAAUCGUAAGAGCCCAAACCGUGGUGCGUGCACUGCGGGGUAGAGGACUGCAAUACGAGUAAGAUAUAUUACCUGAACCGUUUUGGAAAAGCGGGCCAAAGAGCGUGAGAGCCGUGUAAGGGAAAAUAUAUUGAAUCCAGCAGUAUCCGGAGUACCACGAGACACGAGAAACCUUGUGGGAAGCAGGGGGGACCACCCCCCAAGGCUAAAUACUAGUCAGUGACCGAUAGCGUAUAGUACUGUGAAGGAAAGGUGAAAAGAACCCCGGGAGGGGAGUGAAAAAGAACCUGAAACCCUAUGUUUACAAACUGUGGAACACCGAAAGGUGAACCGCGUACUUUUUGUAGAACGGUCCGGCGAGUUACAUGUACAGGCGAGGUUAAGUAUUAAAGAUACGGAGCCGAAGGGAAACCAAGUCUUAAUAGGGCGAUAUUAGUCAGUAUGUGUAGACCCGAAACCGGGUGAUCUAUCCAUGUCCAGGUUGAAGUUCGCGUAAAAGUGAAUGGAGGACCGAACACACAUCCGUUGAAAAGGGUGGUGAUGAGGUGUGGAUAGGGGAGAAAUUCCAAUCGAACCCGGAGAUAGCUGGUUCUCCUCGAAAUAGUUUUAGGACUAGCCUUGUUUUAGUUUCAUGGAGGUAGAGCUCUGAAUUCUUAAGGGGGCGUCAAAGCUUACUAAGAGAUAUCAAACUGCGAAUGCCAUCGAAAUGAUGAACAGGAGUCAGACUGCACGAGAUAAGUUGGGUAGUCAAAAGGGAAAGAGCCCAGACCUACGGCUAAGGUCCCAAAGUGUGUGUUAAGUGGAAAAGGAUGUGGGAUUUCGAAGACAGCUAGGAUGUUGGCUUAGAAGCAGCCAUACAUUAAAAGAGUGCGUAACAGCUCACUAGUCGAGAGGUCCUGCGCCGAAAAUGUCCGGGGCUAAACACAACACCGAAGCCUGGGAAUGUAGUAAUACAUUGGUAGAGGAGCAUUCUUAGAAGCGUAGAAGCCAUACCGGAAGGAAUGGUGGAGUAAUAAGAAGAGAGAAUGCCGGAAUGAGUAGCGAGAAAGAGGUGAGAAUCCUCUUGGCCGAAUAUCUAAGGUUUCCUGAGUAAAGCUGAUCUACUCAGGGUAAGUCGGGGCCUAAGGCAAGGUCGAAAGACGUAGUCGAUGGAUAACAGGUACAGAUUCCUGUACUACAUAUAAUCAGAACUGUGGGGACACGGAGACUAAAACCGAACCCGGGAGGACAAAAACCGGGGCAAGCGAAGUACCUGUAUGGGAGGAAAACCCACCAUACAAGGGGAAUGCGUGAUGCGUACCGAAAAUUAGUAGGGAAGUCGGUUAGGGAGCCGUCAAGAAAAGCCGCUAUUGUGUUAUAUGUACCCGUACCGCAAACCGACACAGGUAGAUGAGGAGAGAAUCCUAAGGCCGGCGGGAGAAGCAUUGUUAAGGAACUCGGCAAAAUGACCCCGUAACUUCGGGAGAAGGGGUGCCACUUUAAUAGAGUGGUCGCAGAAAAAAGGCUCAAGCAACUGUUUAGCAAAAACACAGGUCUAUGCGAAACCGCAAGGUGAAGUAUAUGGGCUGACGCCUGCCCGGUGCCGGAAGGUUAAGAGGAGAAGUCAGGAAACGAAGCUUUGAAUUGAAGCCCCGGUAAACGGCGGCCGUAACUAUAACGGUCCUAAGGUAGCGAAAUUCCUUGUCGGGUAAGUUCCGACCCGCACGAAAGGCGUAAUGAUUUGAGCGCUGUCUCAACAAUGCACCCGGUGAAAUUGAAGUACCAGUGAAGAUGCUGGU